GAAAGCCGUAUGCGUUAAUAGCGCACGUACGGUUUGAUGAGGGAGGGCAGGCGAGAACCUAUUCUCUACUCUAC
rnacentral:ncRNA from 1 species